CCUACGGGAGGCAGCAGUGGGGGAUAUUGCACAAUGGGGGAAACCCUGAUGCAGCGACGCCGCGUGUGGGAAGACGGUCCUCUGGAUUGUAAACCACUGUCCCCAGGGACGAAGCUGACGGUACCUGGGGCGGAAGCUCCGGCUAACUACGUGCCAGCAGCCGCGGUAAUACGUAGGGAGCGAGCGUUGUCCGGAAUUACUGGGUGUAAAGGGAGCGUAGGCGGGACUGCAAGUUGGGUGUCAAAUCUACCGGCUCAACCGGUAGCCGCACUCAAAACUGCAGUUCUUGAGUGAAGUAGAGGCAGGCGGAAUUCCUAGUGUAGCGGUGAAAUGCGUAGAUAUUAGGAGGAACACCAGUGGCGAAGGCGGCCUGCUGGGCUUUUACUGACGCUGAGGCUCGAAAGUGUGGGGAGCAAACAGGAUUAGAUACCCGUGUAGUC
rnacentral:rRNA from 1 species